AGGUGGGCCCAAUGUCAUCAUAAGCAUUCUUAAAAGUGGAAGAUGGAGGCGGAGUAGGCCAGAGUGAUGUGCUGAGACGGGAGAAGGACCUAGUCUGCCACUGCUGACUUUGAAGAUUGAGGAAGAGUGGGAAGGGGCUCAAAGCAAGGAAUGUGGGGCCUCUAGAAGCUGAAAAAGGCAAGGAAACAGAUUUUCCACGAGAGCCUCCGGAAAGGAACCAAGCCUGUAGACACCUUGAUUUUAGCUCGGUGACAGCCCAGGUUGAUUUGGCCUGGAAUGUGGUGAUUUCUUUUAAUUUGCACACUGGAUUUUUUUUUUUCAGCCAAGAAAAUUUUCCUUGAUAUGUCUGAAAGACUGGUGAGACAGUUCAAGGAAGAGAAACGUGACACGCACAGAUCAAUUCUGAAGCCAGCCCUGUGUCUCUCACUCAGCCCGUCCUUAGGCACUGCCCCCGGAGCUCACGCUGAGGCCUGGGAGGAAGUGGAAGUGGUGCCUCUUUUAAGACCAGUGUUCCAAGGAGCAUACUUUAGGAAAAUGUGCUUCUUUGUACUCGUGAUGAUAUUCUAAAAGCAUUGGGCUGAAUAAUGACGAAGAUUUGUGAAAUUUAACAACUGGUUAUUUGUCACAUAACAAUUUUUCAAAGUUGACCUACCUGACUACUUGUUUCUUUGUCUUCUUUCGUUUUGUGAGGAAGAUUGGCCCCGAGCCAACAUCUGUUGCUAAUCUUCCUCUUUUUGCUUGAGGAAGAUUGUCGCUGAGAUAACAUCUGUGCCAACCUCCCUCCAUUUCAUGUGGGACACUGCCAAAGCAUGGCUUGACGAGCAGUGCUAGAUCCGUGCCCAGGAUCUGAACCCAUGAACCCCUGGCCACUGAAGUGGAAUGUGCAAACUCAACCAGUAUGCCACCAGGCCGGCUCCUUAUUUGUCUUUGGAGGUAUAAAAAAUAAAUAAAAGCAAAGAAGACUCUGACAAAAAUGUCUUCAUAUAGGAUUACAACUGUUAAUAUCUUCUCAUAUUUUAUUAUAUAUGAAGUAGAGAUAAAGUUUACCUCAACCCUGCCCUCAAGCCUUCAAUCUCAUUCUCCCUUUCCAGUCUCAGAGGUAACCAUUAUCAAGUUAAUCAGUACCAUUCUUUUUUCAUACAUUUUCAUACAUAUGUGUAUUCAUAACAUCUGUACAUAAUGAGUAUAUAUACACACAUAAAUGCUAUAUGCAUGCAUGUAAAUAGUACACUUUUAUGCCUUUUUUACUAAUCUAUAUGAAUAUACUAGAUUUAGUUUGUUUUGUUUAAUAGCUGCAUAACAUUUUAUCUUGUGUAUCACUUUUGGACGUAAGCGUUGUAUAUUGUAUAUCUCUCCCUCCAACAAUUAUAAGUAUUGAUGAAUAAACAUGUUUUCAUGUGCACGUCUGUGAGAGCUCUUUGAGGUCAUCCCUCCAGGGUUGUCAUCACUGAGGUAUAAGAUAUGAGGUAUAUUUACGUUUUUCCUAGAUACUGCUGAUUGCAUCCCAAGGUGGCUGUAACAGUUUUCAUUUCCAUCAGCCGAGUGUGGGCGUACCAUUUCUCCUAAAUUCUUGCCAACACUUUAUUAGGUUAAAUAAUUUUGCUAGUGUGAUAGAAGAAAAAUAAUAUAUCUGUGUUAUUUUAAUUUGAAUUUCUCUAAUACCAAGAGAGAAUUAGCAUAUUUUCACAUUUGUAUUUUGAGUUGGUUUUGGGAAUUGCUUGUUCUUGUAUUUUAUUCAUUUUAUCAUUGUGAUUUUUGUCUUUUUCUCAUGGAUUGAAGUUCUUUAUAUAUUCAGGAUAUUAUUUCUUUGUUGGAUAAUACAUUGCAAAAACCUUCUCUGGCUAACAUUUUAACUUUAUAUUAAAAUUAAAAUGUUUAUUUAAAAUUAAAUGUUCUUAAUGUGUCUUGUUUAAUCAAUUCUAAUGUCAUAAAUGUAUUUUCCAAAAUUUCAGAGGCUUGUUUUUCAUAUUUAGAUAUUUAAUGUAUGUGGGACUAAUUUUUGUUCCUGUUGUGAAAUAGUAAAUUUAAUUUUCUUUUCCUUAGGGUCACUUUUUGCUAAUAUAAUUUAUUAUAACCUCUGUAUUUUCCUCACUGGUUCAUAUACCACAUAUAUUAU
ensembl:lncRNA